rnacentral:rRNA from 1 species
CCGACCGGCGCACGGGUGAGUAACACGUAUGCAACCUGGCCGCCACAGGGGGAUAACCCGCGGAAACGCGGCCUAAUACCCCGUGACGCCACCGGAGGGCAUCCUCCGGUGGCCAAAGGAGCGAUCCGGUGGCGGAUGGGCAUGCGGCGCAUUAGCUAGACGGCGGGGUGACGGCCCACCGUGGCGACGAUGCGUAGGGGUUCUGAGAGGAAGGCCCCCCACACUGGGACUGAGACACGGCCCAGACUCCUACGGAAGGCAGCAG